GAAGAAUGGUAAAGGACAAAGUUAUAAGCUUUCCAAGAAAAAGCCACUAGGCUUUGGUUCAAAUCCUAAACCUGGGAGCUGCUGUUUAAAUAAAACAUGUGAGGAAGAGGAUUAUAAAGACAUCCUUAAUAGAGACCAAAAGUCCAUCAUGUUCAGUGGCUUCAGUCUAGUAGAGACCAGGAUCAUAUACUUGUGGAAAGACUAUGAGAACAGGCCCAUCUCUAUUACAGGCCCAGCUGCUGAAGUAGAGAGAAAGGAAAGCACAAGGAAGAUGUAACUGGCAGGA